rnacentral:misc_RNA from 1 species
UUUCACAGGCGCGCGAGCUUUAACCUCUGUUUCGAUCUGUCGACGCGACGACGAUACAAGCAUGGCGAGAGAACAAAUUUCGUGGGUUUGUGCUGUCAUCAUAACACUAUUAUUCUUGAACAGUAGUUUAUGUGCAGACGAGAAUCUGAAUUUGAGAGAUGAACCACUUCAGCUUGUCAAACCAGAUAUUGAACACAAACAGCUGAUUUUAAAUCAUGAUUUUGUGAAGACAUUGUAUCAGAUAGAAGGACCGGUAGCCGUUGCUGCCAUUGUGGGCAAGUACCACUCUGGAAAAUCCUUUCUUCUAAAUCAACUGAUGGGCAAACGUCAGGGUUUCGGAUUCAAUAUCGGACCCUUCGUCAAACCAGAAACGAUGGGCAUAUGGAUGUGGGGAAAGCCACUACCAGUGACAUUGUCCAGUGGUCAGAAAAUAUCAUUAAUAUUUCUAGAUACUGAAGGAUUUGCUGCUAACAAUGUAUCAGAACGUUAUGAUGCAAAGAUCUUCGCUGUGGCAACUUUACUCAGCUCCUAUCUUAUCUACAACUCUGUGAAGAUCAUUGACCAGGCUGAUAUGGACUACUUGGAACUUCUGGCAAGAAGAACACAGCUUUUUGCGCUUCGGUCUCAGAUGUCACGUGCUAAAUGGGCAAACGACUUUAAUCAUGAUCUUUUGACUUUCCCUCCUCUAAUGUGGGUGGUUCAAGACUUUGUCCAAGCGAUUGGUGAUGACAUGUCUCCAAAAGAGUGGCUUGAAGGUAUGAUGGACUCCUCGACUUGGGAAAGUGAAGACCAUAGGAUCAGUUUACUUGAUGUCUUUGAAUCUGUUAACUGCCACACACUCUUCUUUCCUGCAACAAAGAAAGAUCUCUUACAAGAUUUAUCACAGGCAAGAGAGGAUGAUUUAACCAUUGAAUAUAAGAACGAGCGAGAUAGUCUUUUGCAGAAAUUGAAAGACGGAAUAAUACCAAAGGGCAAAAAUGAUCGUCCAAUGACAGGCCCAGAACUGGCUUCAUUGAUUGACAUAUUGGUGACAGCAGCUAACGAGGGCUCCCUUGCACAGGUCCCUAGUCGCUGGCAUGGAUUCAUUCAAGACAUGAAACAGUCGGCUGUACAGGACUGCUUCAAGUUUUAUGACACUGACAUGGAGGUGCUGCAUGAGAAACACCAUCACGGAGCGAUCAAUGAACAGGAACUUGAGCAGUGGCAUCAGCAGGCUCAUAGAAAGACGUUGAAGCUUCUGCAACAAGUUCUUUUUGGAUUGGAAACUAUAUUUGAAGAAUCUUCAAAAGAAAUGAAUGUAACGAUACAGGAACACUUUGAGAAGACAUACGAAAUGAAUGAAAAGAAAAUCAAGCUACGUUGUGGAGAAAUACAACACAGACAAGAGCUGUCUGUUGAAGAAGCUUUGGCCCAGCUUUCACUACCUGUGCUGACUUCGCAGAUGAUGAGCACUUACAAUGAAGCACUAGCUGGCUGUAUUACAGGAUAUGCUGAACUUUUGGAACCACUGAAGGAAACGACUGCCUACAGGAAACACCUUAACCAACUCAAGGCUUCUGCGGAAAAUAUGAAGAAUUCCUAUCUUUUCAAGAAUUCAAAGGCAAUAGAAGCUAUGUUUGAAAAAGCCAGUGAACUUUCCAGUGCGGAAUUUAAAGUGCUGACUACACACCCUACCAACGAUCCAAUUAUACCACAUGACCUUAAAAGGUUAUUUAAGAGAGGUGCGGAGAAAGCAUUGGAUAGCUUCCAGAGGUCCACAGAAUACUUUAAUGAGGAGAGAGACUACAAAAUGUAUUUGAAAGUGGUUCAGACUGGCUUUACAGAGAUCGAGAGAGAAUGUGAACUAAGGAAUAAUUACCUGUUGAAAAGUGCAUUAGACUCUAAGAUUCAUGAUCUAACAGAGCUGAUGAAAGCAAACACCAAUAGUACAAAGAUCUCUUUACCAAUGAAUGACACUGAGCUUGAUCAAAUGAUGACUUCAGAGAUUUACCUGCUUUCCAAGAGGGCAUAGUUCUAUUAACAAAAUCCUUACACCAUGUAUGUGGUACAAGGCGACAAGAAAAUAUGGCUGCUUACCAACAUGAGGUUGGUGUCCCCCUCGAUAUGGCCAAGAGAAUAGCGCUGUUGUCAGCUGACCGGUAUGACACAGUAUUUAGCAUAACACUUUAU